CAGUCGCCGCGGUAAAACGGAGGGUGCAAGCGUUAAUCGGAAUUACUGGGCGUAAAGCGCACGCAGGCGGUCUGACAAGUCAGAUGUGAAAUCCCCGGGCUUAACCUGGGAACUGCAUUUGAAACUGUCAGGUUGGAGUCUUGUAGAGGGGGGUGGAAUUCCAGGUGUAGCGGUGAAAUGCGUAGAGAUCUGGAGGAAUACCGGUGGCGAAGGCGGCCCCCUGGACAAAGACUGACGCUCAGGUGCGAAAGCGUGGGGAGCAAACAGGAUUAGAUACCCCUGUAGUCCCUGUCUCUUAUAC
rnacentral:rRNA from 1 species